rnacentral:rRNA from 1 species
CCUGGCUCACGAUGAACGCUAGCGACAGGCUUAACACAUGCAAGUCGAGGGGCAGCACAGGUAGCAAUACCGGGUGGCGACCGGCGCACGGGUGAGUAACGCGUAUGCAACUUGCCUAUCAGAGGGGGAUAACCCGGCGAAAGUCGGACUAAUACCGCAUGAAGCAGGGAUCCCGCAUGGGAAUAUUUGCUAAAGAUUCAUCGCUGAUAGAUAGGCAUGCGUUCCAUUAGGCAGUUGGCGGGGUAACGGCCCACCAAACCGACGAUGGAUAGGGGUUCUGAGAGGAAGGUCCCCCACAUUGGUACUGAGACACGGACCAAACUCCUACGGGAGGCAGCAGUGAGGAAUAUUGGUCAAUGGCCGAGAGGCUGAACCAGCCAAGUCGCGUGAGGGAUGAAGGUUCUAUGGAUCGUAAACCUCUUUUAUAAGGGAAUAAAGUGCGGGACGUGUCCCGUUUUGUAUGUACCUUAUGAAUAAGGAUCGGCUAACUCCGUGCCAGCAGCCGCGGUAAUACGGAGGAUCCGAGCGUUAUCCGGAUUUAUUGGGUUUAAAGGGUGCGUAGGCGGCCUUUUAAGUCAGCGGUGAAAGUCUGUGGCUCAACCAUAGAAUUGCCGUUGAAACUGGGGGGCUUGAGUAUGUUUGAGGCAGGCGGAAUGCGUGGUGUAGCGGUGAAAUGCAUAGAUAUCACGCAGAACCCCGAUUGCGAAGGCAGCCUGCCAAGCCAUUACUGACGCUGAUGCACGAAAGCGUGGGGAUCAAACAGGAUUAGAUACCCUGGUAGUCCACGCAGUAAACGAUGAUCACUAGCUGUUUGCGAUACACUGUAAGCGGCACAGCGAAAGCGUUAAGUGAUCCACCUGGGGAGUACGCCGGCAACGGUGAAACUCAAAGGAAUUGACGGGGGCCCGCACAAGCGGAGGAACAUGUGGUUUAAUUCGAUGAUACGCGAGGAACCUUACCCGGGUUUGAACGCAUUCGGACCGAGGUGGAAACACCUUUUCUAGCAAUAGCCGUUUGCGAGGUGCUGCAUGGUUGUCGUCAGCUCGUGCCGUGAGGUGUCGGCUUAAGUGCCAUAACGAGCGCAACCCUUGCCACUAGUUACUAACAGGUGAUGCUGAGGACUCUGGUGGGACUGCCAGCGUAAGCUGCGAGGAAGGCGGGGAUGACGUCAAAUCAGCACGGCCCUUACAUCCGGGGCGACACACGUGUUACAAUGGCGUGGACAAAGGGAGGCCACCUGGCGACAGGGAGCGAAUCCCCAAACCACGUCUCAGUUCGGAUCGGAGUCUGCAACCCGACUCCGUGAAGCUGGAUUCGCUAGUAAUCGCGCAUCAGCCAUGGCGCGGUGAAUACGUUCCCGGGCCUUGUACACAC